rnacentral:pre_miRNA from 1 species
AACUUUCCGAAUUCGUGCGGACAUUUUGUCAAACACCAGACCAUCAGUAUUAGUGAGACUCCCAAUAUAAGUGAAGCA